GAUGAACGCUGGCGGCGUGCCUAAUACAUGCAAGUCGAGCGAACAGACGAGGAGCUUGCUCCUCUGACGUUAGCGGCGGACGGGUGAGUAACACGUGGAUAACCUACCUAUAAGACUGGGAUAACUUCGGGAAACCGGAGCUAAUACCGGAUAAUAUAUUGAACCGCAUGGUUCAAUAGUGAAAGACGGUUUUGCUGUCACUUAUAGAUGGAUCCGCGCCGCAUUAGCUAGUUGGUAAGGUAACGGCUUACCAAGGCAACGAUGCGUAGCCGACCUGAGAGGGAUCGGGGACACAGGGGAUGAGAGACAGUCCAGAGACCCCCGGGAGGGACAGCAGGGGGAACUCUUCCGAAAGGGGCAAGAGCUACGGGGCAAACCGCCGCGUGAGAGGUAAGGGUCUGGGGAUUGAAAAACUCUUUUUAGGGAAGAACAAAUGUGUAAGUAACUAUGCACGUCUUGACGGUACCUAAUCAGAAAGCCACGGCUAACUACGUG
rnacentral:rRNA from 1 species